rnacentral:rRNA from 1 species
GGUGAACGCUGGCGGCGUGCCUAAUACAUGCAAGUCGAGCGGACGGACGAGAAGCUCGUUCCUCUGCUGUUAGCGGCGGACGGGUGGGUGACACGUGCAUAACAUACCUAUAUUUCUUGGGGAACUUCGUAGGGCAGGAUCUAAUACCAGAUGAUAUUUCCAACCGGUUGAUUCAAGAGUGCAUGACGGUCUUCCUGUCUCUAUUAGACGGAUCCGCGCUGCAUUAGCUAGUUGGUAAGGUAACGGCUUACCAAGGCAACGAUGCGUAGCUGACCUGAGAGGAUGAUCGGCCACACUGGAACUGAGACACGGUCCAGACUCCUACGGGAGGCAGCAGUGGGGAAUAUUGGACAAUGGGCGAAAGCCUGAUGCAGCAAUGCCGCGUGAGUGAAGAAGGUCUUCGGGUCGUAAAACCCUUUUAUUAGGGAAGAAAAGCAGUGUAUGUAACCGUCGACGUCCUGACGGUACCUAAUGAAAAAGCACCGGCUAACUACGUG